rnacentral:lncRNA from 1 species
CAAAAUCGAAUUGAAUCACAAAGUAAAUGUCGCCCAGUCCCAUACUAAAGAAAAGACAUAGUUUCAUCUCGGUCACAAAUAAGCUUCAUCACGCAAGGCUUGGGAGUCAAGAAAUCACAAACCGCCAUAUAAUCCACCAAGAUAACCAAUAACCAAGAAGUAAACAUCAGAGAGGCAAAGAGAGGGAGAGGAAGUCAAAGCCGAGCCAACAACAACGAACUCUCCGAGGCCAAGCUUCAUGGCUUGUGAGAAUCACAUUUCCUGUAGGUAUCCUUCAUGGAUCCGAGCACAAGAACAUGGUCUAAAAGAUAAACUUUCUCUUUGGUUGGCACAACAUUGCCACAUGG